rnacentral:piRNA from 1 species
UAUCGUAUGUUGGUUUUUCAU